rnacentral:rRNA from 1 species
AGAGAUAGCUUAGUGCCUUCGGGAACUCUGAGACAGGUGCUGCAUGGCUGUCGUCAGCUCGUGUUGUGAAAUGUUGGGUUAAGUCCCGCAACGAGCGCAACCCUUAUCCUUUGUUGCCAGCGAGUAAUGUCGGGAACUCAAAGGAGACUGCCGGUGAUAAACCGGAGGAAGGUGGGGAUGACGUCAAGUCAUCAUGGCCCUUACGAUAGGGCUACACACGUGCUACAAUGGCAUAUACAAAGAGAAGCGAACUCGCGAGAGCAAGCGGACCUCAUAAAGUAUGUCGUAGUCCGGAUUGGAGUCUGCAACUCGACUCCAUGAAGUCGGAAUCGCUAGUAAUCGUAGAUCAGAAUGCUACGGUGAAUACGUUCCCGGGCCUU